rnacentral:rRNA from 1 species
GAGUGAACCUGCGGAAGGAUCAUCACUAUACGACGAUUGUAUCGUUUAUCGAUAUAAUCGUCAAAUAUGGAGAGGCAACAUGUUCGAUGCAGCGGUAGCUGCAUAGAUCAUUGUUGCGUGUCGUGGAAUGAAUUGAAAGUAUUGUUGUUGGUGUUGUUGGUGUCGUCGUUGUCUUGCCUCAUCAUGGUACCCGUGUCAGUGAUGAUGCUCGCGUACACUGUACCGCAUGCUUAAUUUUAUGCCAAGGGGAAUUAAGUAUGCUAAAGCGAUAGUUAAUGGUUGGUGUGGUGGUCGUAACGCUCUCGAAGCGUUAGCAUUAUGAAAAGAAUGACUACAACGUGCAGUGGAUCACUCGGGUCGUCGGCCGAAGAAGAACAUUGCAAAAUGCGAUAAAUUCCGUGAAAUGCAGAUCUAUAUGAACGGAAAGACUUUGAACGCAGAUGGCGACUGUGAAUACCAUAUUCAUAGUCGCGUCCGUCUGAGGAUCAUUGAAUACAUGAAAAAGAUCACAUUGUUUGAAACAAAUUGUUUUGAACAAAUGUUGAAUAUCAGGUCACGAGUGAUAUUCGGAGGCUGAGUACGGUGGGCACUAGUUGUGCGGUAGUGUUCGCUACCGCAAUUACUACUGAUGUCGUAACGGUAAUGAUUGGUCGUAGAAAACUGCCAAAACACUAUAGCAGUUACGCAGGGUUUGGAAACGGCGUUGAUGCUGACAUCGUCCGUCGUCAUGAUGAAAGAAAAUGAUAAGGCUUCCCCAUCUCGAUCCGAUGAGGAUAACCGCUGCACUUUUAGCAUAACGAAGACGGGGCCGGUCC